rnacentral:lncRNA from 1 species
CGUUUAUUCUGAACUCCAGUUAAGCCUUCUCCCUUGGGGCCAUCAGACUGACCAAGGAGAAAUGGACACGAAUUGGUUUUCCUGUGGGGUCCGGGUGAGGCCAUGAGGCCUAGAAGUUAAUGCGGUAUCCGGGUGCAACUCUGGGCUUUGGGGAGGUAACAUGGCUUCUCCUCCUGCACCAGUUUCCCUCCCUACAAGCUGGGAAGGAGGACAGCACUUUCUUCACAGGUUGAUGGAGUCCAGGCAGCGAGCUGGUUCAGAACAGGGUCUGUCACACAGGAGGCUCUCAGCCAGCCUCAGCCAUCAUGAUCAUGCCUUCAUGAUGGGAGGGCAGGGAGAGGCGGGCAUUCCUCCCCCUCUCCUGGGCUCACUCUCCCACUGACAAUAUCAGGGGCAGCACAGGAGCCGUGAGUGUGUGGCCCUGUGGGCAUGUCAGCUCGCGGGGCCCUGACCUUUGCAUCCAGCUGGCCAUGCGCAUCGAGACUGUUCUUCAACCGUGUUCACUGUGUGUUGUUGGGUGGAAGGUUGUUUUCCAAGCCUGCCGACAGCAGCCCUCUGUCCUGGUGCCUGAGCUGCCCUGAGUUUGAAAAGGUUAGGGGAGGAGGGGAGGAGGUGUGUGUGAUGGAGAAGAUGUCUCUCCAGGGGGAGGGCCGCAGGCAGGCUGCAGGCUUCACCUCUCAACAUGCACGCUAAGUGGGGCAACCAGGUGGGUUUUGUCAGAAACCCACCCUUGUAGAUUAGAGAGGGACUGUCAGUUAUGACAAUAAUGCCCUUUGGAAGGGCAUCCUGUGAUCCAGAAUGGCCAGUCGGAGAGCCCCAACUUCCUGGUGACAGAAUUUCAGAAAUGGACAUGAGAUGUGGCCAAACAACCAAUCAGAUUCUUCUCUGGGAUCAGUCUGUGGAUUUUGGGAGAGGGAAGCUUUUGUUCUCCCAGGCUUUGUAGGUCAAGAGGAAGCAAGUCUGGGAUCCUUGUCUGAGAAACAGAUGCAGCAGAACUGAGACUGGUAAAGAUGGUGCCUUGAUGAUAGCUUUCCGGCCCCUGGAUACAGCCAUGCCUGGAGGCAGCUGCCCCACUGAACUCCCUAGUUCUGUGAGUCUUUUUUGGCUUAAAACCCUUUGGGUUAGCUUCUGUGUCUUGAAGCUGAAUGAUUCCUACCUGUGAAGGACCUGUCAUGCACCAACCUCGUACGAGACACUGGACCCAGAAUUCAGUGAGCGAUGUCUGGUGGGUGUUGGGCAGGUCACUUCCUGUCUUGGAAGUUGGGGUGCUCUUAGAGGAACAGGACUGUUGUGGGGCCUUGGAGAGCAGAACACGCAGAGCUCCUGGAAGCAGCCCGUUCCUGUUCAACGUCAGAUACUCUGCCUGAGUAGGGAACUCUGGGAUGGAUGUCCUCAUGCAGGAGUUUAGGGCAAUCGCCUCCAUUUUCCUUAGCAGAAAUGCCUGAUGCUGAAUUGCAGAAUCAAAGACUGUUCACUUCUUAACGUCCUUGACACACAGGGCCCAAGGGCUCUCCAGAAACAAACUGACCGUAUGAGCUGUGUAACAGCCAGCCACGAAGAGUGGCUUGAAGAACAUCCACGUUCUUGUCUCACAGUUAGGUCUGAGAUCCACUUGGAGUUACUUUUUGCAUGUGGUGUAAAGUAAGGAUUGAGGCUGACUUUUAGUUUUGCCCAUGAUAUUCAAUUGAGCAAUGAGAUUUUAGUCAAAGAGCACAGGAUGGAAACCGCACGCAGGUCUCAGCUCUGAGCGUCGGCCUUUCGUGAGCGCCUGCUACGCGUGCGACUGAGUGCUUACCUGCAUUGAUUCAUGCGCUUCUCACAAGGACUCCCG